rnacentral:lncRNA from 1 species
UUUGUGAUGAUGCUACCAAUUUACUAAACACUAAAAUAUUGGGUUGUGAUUUUAAAAUCUAGCAAAUUAAUUUUAUUUAUUGCUUCUUUUCCAUACAGAUGUAUCAUAUCUAUUCUCUUUCAAAAAACUUAUAUAAGCAGCACUGGAGGAUUAUAGGUAACUUAUACUAAGAACUUUGCAUCACAAUUCGGAUCAAUUUGCACCAACUAAAAAGGUAUUACAGAUUGAAGAUAGAAGCCAGGCUGUGAAACAAAAGGUGACAUUCUAUUCUUGAUGUAAUUUCCAAAUUAUAACCCAUAAUCAAGCAAAAUAUUACAACAAACAUGACAUAUAUGUUGCUUGCAUUCAACAUCUUCACGACCUUCAAACGCAUACAUCUCCUCCGGGUGCUUCUGCCAUCACGGCACUUUCUCUGGACCUGCACAAGGCAUCCAUCCCCUCUUCAGCACCACCUUCGCCACUAGAAUGGUUCUCCAACAGGGGAGGGUGAGCUGCACCAAUACGCGCAGGGGAGGGCAAGCACCUGCCGAGAGCUGCGCUAUCGCUCGCAGGCGUGGGGGGAAACACAUGGUGAGCUCGCGUAGGCAUCCGUGAGGCGAGGACGAACUGCGCUGACGCAUGCAGAAGUGCACAAGCACGGGCGACGAGCCGCGGUGGGCAUCAGCAGGGCGUGUGUGAACACAGGCGCGGGAGCUACGAUUGCUCGCACGGGCAUGGGCAAGCUAUGGCGGAGCGCUGCGGUGGCUUGCGCAGGGAGCAGUGAGGUACAGCGAGGAGCCACCAGUGACGACAAGAAUGAGCUAGCUUGAGAAAUCAUAUCCAAC